UCUGCUUUCCCCCAGAACUCCUGAAUCCAUUAGAAAACACAAAACAGAACACAAGAGAUUCUGCAGAGGCUGGGAAUCUUGAGCAACACACACACAAAAUGCUGGAGGAGCUCAGUAAGUUAAGUAGCAUCUAUUGAGAGGAAUAAGCAGUCGAUGUUUUGGGCCGAGACGCAUCAUCAGUUUCCGACUGAAUUGCCUGGCAAAGGAAGUCUAGAAGUGGAUGAAUUCAAUGGCAUAUCAGGCUUGCCUGCAGGAGAAUGGUGGAAAUUUCCUGUCAGGGUGUGUGAAUACUACAGCAGAGGCACUUAAACAAGGAACAGUGAAUUGGAGCUGCCAACAGCGAUGAGGACAGAUGUUCCUGGCACUCGUUUGUGAUUACCAGGUGUUCACAGUAGAUACAAAGAAACACAACAGCAUCAAUGAAACACUGGGCUCAACAAACUAGCAACAUAGAAGGACAUUCGGCCCAUUGCAUCUGUGCCAGGAGAAAAAGUCACCCAGCCUAAUCUCACUUUACAACAUUAUGAUUGUAGUCCGAGAGGGCGGAGGACACAGCCUGGUCCAUCACAGGCACAGUCCUCCUCACCUUCUACAGGAGGCUCUGCUACAAGAAAGCAUCAUCCAUCAUUAAGGAUCCCCACCACCCAGGCCAUGGCCCUUCUCACUGCUACGAGCUACAGAGCCUGAAGACCCUCAGCAACAGCUGCUUCCCUACAACCAUCUGGCUCUUGAACCAAGUGGCACAACCCUAACCUGCCCCAGCAGGGAACACUACCGACCACCUCUAGCACAACUGUGGACUUGGCUCUGAUUGUGUGUUUUUGCACUAACAUUUUGCUUUUCACAGAAGUUGGGGAGCACGGACCAGUCCUCAUUAAAGGGUCAACACUGGAAUGUGCAAGCAGUUUCAAGUUCCCAGGCGUCAAUAUCUUGGAGGAUAUAUCCUGGUCUAUCCUGGGUUCAGCACGCUGAUGCAAUUACAAAGAAUUACAAAGAUACUUCAUUAGGAAUUUGCGGAGAAUUGACUUAUCACCAAAACGAUCAAAUUUCUAAUGAUAUAGCAUGGAGAGCAUUCUAACUGGUUGUAUCGCCGUCUGACAUGGAGGGGCCACUGCACAGGAUCAGAAAAAACAGUAAAAAGUUGUAAAUUCAAUCAGCUCCAACAUGGACACUAGGUUCCCCAGCAUCUUCAAAAGGUGAUACCUCAAAAAGCUGGCAUCCUUCAUUCAGGACCCCCAGGACAUGCCUUUGUUCCCUCCGCCAUCAGAUUUCUGAAUGGACAAUGAACCCAUGUAUGCUUGAUUGUUAUUUUCCCUUUAUUUUUGUUCCCUUUUGCAGUACUUAUUUUAAUGUAUGUGUACAUAUAGCAACGUACUGCUGCCACAAAACAACACAUUUCACAAGA